rnacentral:rRNA from 1 species
UACGUAGGGGCCUAGCGUUGUCCGGAUUUAUUGGGCGUAAAGAGCUCGUAGGCGGUCUGUCGCGUCGAUCGUGAAAACUUGGGGCUUAACCCUGAGCUUGCGGUCGAUACGGGCAGACUGGAGUGCGGUAGGGGAGAUCGGAAUUCCUGGUGUAGCGGUGAAAUGCGCAGAUAUCAGGAGGAACACCGGUGGCGAAGGCGGAUCUCUGGGCCGUAACUGACACUGAGAGACGAAAGCUAGGGGAGCGAAUGGG